rnacentral:rRNA from 1 species
UAGCUACAGGCUUAACACAUGCAAGUCGAGGGGUAGCAGGGUAGCAAUACCGCUGACGACCGGCGCACGGGUGAGUAACACGUAUCCAACCUUCCCAUAACUCGGGGAUAGCCUUUCGAAAGAAAGAUUAAUACCCGAUAGUACUUUUUUAGGGCAUCUUAGAAAAGUUAAAGAUUUAUUGGUUAUGGAUGGGGAUGCGUUCCAUUAGAUAGUUGGUGAGGUAACGGCUCACCAAGUCUUCGAUGGAUAGGGGUUCUGAGAGGAAGGUCCCCCACAUUGGUACUGAGACACGGACCAAACUCCUACGAGAGGCAGCAGUGAGGAAUAUUGGUCAAUGGGCGAGAGCCUGAACCAGCCAAGUAGCGUGAAGGAUGACGG